GAUGAACGCUGGCGGCGUGCUUAACACAUGCAAGUCGAACGAAGCACUUGAAACGGAUUCUUCGGAUGAAGUUUCCUGUGACUGUGUGGCAGACGGGUGAGUAAUGCGUGGGUAACCUGCCUCAUACAGGGGGAUAACAGUUAGAAAUGGCUGCGAAUACCGCAUAAGCGCACAGUAUCGCAUGAUGCAAUGUGAAAAACUCCGGUGGUAUGAGAUGGACCCGCGUUGGAUUAGCUAGUUGGCAGGGUAACGGCCUACCAAGGCGACGAUCCAUAGCCGGCCUGGGGGGGUGGACGGCCACAUUGGGACUGAGACACGGCCCAGACUCCUACGGGAGGCAGCAGUGGGGAAUAUUGCACAAUGGGGGAAACCCUGAUGCAGCGACGCCGCGUGAGCGAAGAAGUAUUUCGGUAUGUAAAGCUCUAUCAGCAGGGAAGAAAAUGACGGUACCUGACUAAGAAGCCCCGGCUAACUACGUGCCAGCCGCCGCCGUAA
rnacentral:rRNA from 1 species